rnacentral:rRNA from 1 species
UACGUAGGCAGCGAGCGUUGUUCGGAGUUACUGGGCGUAAAGAGUGCGUAGGCGGUUUUCUAAGUUUGGUGUGAAAUCUCCCGGCUUAACUGGGAGGGUGCGCCGAAAACUGGAAGGCUUGAGUAUGGGAGAGGUAAGCGGAAUUCCUGGUGUAGCGGUGAAAUGCGUAGAUAUCAGGAGGAACACCUGCGGUGUAGACGGCUUACUGGACCAUAACUGACGCUGAGGCACGAAAUCGUGGGUAGCAAACAGG